UACCCCUGCCUGUCUCAAGUAAAUCUCGAUUGCCCCGGAUCUCUUUCUGGCCAUCUGCCGUGUUGUUCUGUUGCCACGAAGAGAGAGAGAGGGUUCGAUCAGUAGCCUAAAAGAGAGAGGUACAGUAUCGAUUUCAGCUGUUUUGGCGCAGAGAUUUUGGUUGUCGUUUGCUGACGAGUUGUUUACUAUUUAUUUGGUUGGAGCGCAAGAAUUCUUUAGCUGGCAUAGAUUUGGUAUUCAAAAUGGAAACUGAUGCUGUAUGAGGUUUAGCUUGGGUGGAGUUUAGAGAGAAGUACAAGAAGGAACAAUCCAACAACAAAUCGGAGAGAGCGCCCUACCAGGCCAAGGCAGAGAAGAGAAAGGUUGAAUAGAACAAUAACAUGGAAGUUUAUAACAAGAAACAAGUAAUUGUGUGAUAGAGUAAAAGCUUGGUCGUUUAAUGUAUCUGAUAGCUGCAAAGGUUUUUGCGUUUGUAGUAGUCAUCUUCACUUUUUCAUGGAAAGUGAUAGUUCGUGCUCUUGAAGAAAAUGCUAGAGCUUCCUACAAUUUGGACACUCUUUGAACUAUAGAGCCUUCUGAGAAAUAACUGAUUCAGUGACAACUUUGAACCAUCAGAUCAGACCAGAACAAAUACAUCGGUUCAAUCUGACACAGAAGACCUUACCUAGCCACUUCUGCUCCGCAAUCUUAAGCUUUUUGUUAUGCUGUGUAACUCUUUGUGAUAAAGACCAAUCUCUAUGGUUUUUUGGUAAUGCUAACGGUGCUUAAAAAACAAUGUCAUGCUAUUAUACUAUAUACGAAAGGCCGGUUGGGUGGUUACUGUUACUACUGUUCAUCAGUUCUGCCAUUUUCCCUUUCUGGAAGCAUCUUUCUGCACCGACAUAUCUACACCGACAUCAACUCUUGCAGACUAUAAAUUGAAAUCAGCAGAGGCGAAACAGCCCUGAAACGUGAGACAAACAUCUGAGAGGGUUUUCAGCCUGGGUUUUAACUUUUCAACAGUUCCAAGAUCCAAAUUUUUUUAGGCUCUCAGGGAAAAGGGUUGGGUUGAAAACAAAUAGAACAGGUGAUAAGAUUGUGAGUGUGUGAUGACGUGAGAGGUUCAUUACAAGUACUAUAUACUUUAAAGUUACCAACUGAUGUAUGAAUAUGACCAAAGAACAGAUUAGAUUGAAUGCAGGAAGUUGUUCUUACUUGGUUUCCAUAACGACAUACCACAGUAAAGUUUAGUUGAUUAACCGAUCAGUAAGAAGAAAGAGGCCUAGGUUUUUGGAGUGUAUUGUGGUCAUUAAGUUUGCUGCAGCAAGGCAGUUGGAAUUCCUCAAAGGCAGGAGUUAUUCUACUCAUCAUCAAUCUUCAGCUUCUCAUUAUAAACGCCCCCAUUCCAAUAACAGGAUUCUAUAAUGCCUGCAACUAAUUUCUCAGCUUCACCCCUCCUGCUCACAACAUACAGCAGCUGUCCGAGACUUCUGAUACACCAAGUUUGAUACCAGUUCAUUCAUUGUAAUCAAAACAUCACAUAAAAUAUGUCUGACCUCAUUAUAACAAAAUAUUUGAACUUUGUUAAAACCUUUUGUACGAACCAAAACCUUUAUA